rnacentral:rRNA from 1 species
GUGACAUACCUACAACUGUUGCUUCGGCGGGUAGGCCGUCCCCUGAAAAGGACGCCUCCCGGCCCGGACCGGACCCCCCGCGGGACCGGACCCGGCGCCCGCCGGAGGAUAACCAAACUCUAUUGUAACGACGUUUCUUCUGAGUGGCAUAAGCAAAAUAAUCAAAACUUUUAACAACGGAUCUCUUGGUUCUGGCAUCGAUGAAGAACGCAGCGAAAUGCGAUAAGUAAUGUGAAUUGCAGAAUUCAGUGAAUCAUCGAAUCUUUGAACGCACAUUGCGCCCGCCAGCAUUCUGGCGGGCAUGCCUGUUCGAGCGUCAUUUCAACCCUCAAGCUCUGCUUGGUGUUGGGGCUCUACGGUCGACGUAGGCCCUCAAAGGUAGUGGCGGACCCUCCCGGAGCCUCCUUUGCGUAGUAACAUUUCGUCUCGCACUGGGAUCCGGAGGGACUCUUGCCGUAAAACCCCCCAAUUUUCCAAAGGUUGACCUCGGAUCAGGUAGGAAUACCCGCUGAACUUAAGCAUAUCAUA